CAUCCUGAUAAAGUACCCUUGGCCUUUGGAAUUAAAAAUAAUCCCACAUCAUCGCAUACCCUUUACCAUAUCUCACGAUUGGCAUGGGUUUAUUUGAGUUAG